GAUGAACGCUGGCGGCGUGCCUAAUACAUGCAAGUCGAGCGAACAGACGAGGAGCUUGCUCCUCUGACGUUAGCGGCGGACGGGUGAGUAACACGUGGAUAACCUACCUAUAAGACUGGGAUAACUUCGGGAAACCGGAGCUAAUACCGGAUAAUAUAUUGAACCGCAUGGUUCAAUAGUGAAAGACGGUUUUGCUGUCACUUAUAGAUGGAUCCGCGCCGCAUUAGCUAGUUGGUAAGGUAACGGCUUACCAAGGCAACGAUGCGUAGCCGACCUGAGAGGGUGGUCGGCCACCCUGGAACUGAGACACGGCCCAGACUCCGACGGGAGGCAGCAGUAGGGAAUCUUCCGCAAUGGGCGAAAGCCUGACGGAGCAACGCCGCGUGAGUGAUGAAGGUCUUCGGAUCGUAAAACUCUGUUAUUAGGGAAGAACAAAUGUGUAAGUAACUAUGCACGUCUUGACGGUACCUAAUCAGAAAGCCACGGCUAACUACGUG
rnacentral:rRNA from 1 species